AACCUAGCACACCUGCGGUGUGUACCUGCGGAGGGAUCAUUACUGAGUGUAAAAACUCCCAAACCCAUUGUGAACAUACCACUGUUGCUUCGGCGGAUACGCCCCGGGCGCGCUCUUCACAGGGCGUGCCCCGGAACCAGGCGCCCGCCGGGGGACCGAAACUCUUGUUUUCUUAGGAUCUCUGAGUGUGAUUAUUAAAUAAAUCAAAACUUUUAACAAUGGAUCUCAGAUCGGAAGAGC
rnacentral:misc_RNA from 1 species